rnacentral:rRNA from 1 species
AGAACGAACGCUGGCGGCAGGCCUAACACAUGCAAGUCGAACGAGAAGCCACCUUCGGGUGGUGGACAGCGGCAGACGGGUGAGUAACGCGUGGGAACGUGCCUUUCGGUUCGGGAUAACCCAGGGAAACUUGGGCUAAUACCGGAUACGCCCUUCGGGGGAAAGAUUCAUUGCCGAAAGAUCGGCCCGCGUCGGAUUAGCUAGUUGGUGGGGUAAAAUCCUACCAAGGCGACGAUCCGUAGCUGGUCUGAGAGGAUGACCAGCCACACUGGGACUGAGACACGGCCCAGACUCCUACGGGAGGCAGCAGUAGGGAAUCUUGCGCAAUGGGCGAAAGCCUGACGCAGCAACGCCGCGUGGGGGAUGAAGGCUCUCGGGUUGUAAACCCCUUUCAGUGGGGACGAAAUUGACGGUACCCACAGAAGAAGCCCCGGCCAACUACGUGCCAGCAGCCGC